rnacentral:rRNA from 1 species
UACGUAGGGUGCGAGCGUUAAUCGGAAUUACUGGGCGUAAAGCGUGCGCAGGCGGUUUGCUAAGACCGAUGUGAAAUCCCCGGGCUUAACCUGGGGAACUGCAUUGGUGACUGGCAGGCUAGAGUAUGGCAGAGGGGGGUAGAAUUCCACGUGUAGCAGUGAAAUGCGUAGAGAUGUGGAGGAAUACCGAUGGCGAAGGCAGCCCCCUGGGCCAAUACUGACGCUCAUGCACGAAAGCGUGGGGAGCAAACAGG